AGCGAACGCUGGCGGCAGGCCUAACACAUGCAAGUCGAACGGAUCCUUCGGGAUUAGUGGCGGACGGGUGAGUAACACGUGGGAACGUGCCCUUUGGUUCGGAACAACUCAGGGAAACUUGAGCUAAUACCGAAUGUGCCCUACGGGGAAAGAUUUAUCGCCAUUGGAGCGGCCCGCGUCUGAUUAGCUUGUUGGUGAGGUAACGGCUCACCAAGGCUACGAUCAGUAGCUGGUCUGAGAGGAUGAUCAGCCACAUUGGGACUGAGACACGGCCCAAACUCCUACGGGAGGCAGCAGUGGGGAAUCUUGCGCAAUGGGCGAAAGCCUGACGCAGCCAUGCCGCGUGAAUGAUGAAGGUCUUAGGAUUGUAAAAUUCUUUCACCGGGGACGAUAAUGACGGUACCCGGAGAAGAAGCCCCGGCUAACUUCGUG
rnacentral:rRNA from 1 species